UACAGAGGUCUCAAGCGUUGUUCGGAUUCAUUGGGCGUAAAGGGUGCGUAGGUGGUGAUGCAAGUCUGGUGUGAAAUCUCGGAGCUCAACUCCGAAAUUGCACCGGAUACUGCGUGACUCGAGGACUGUAGAGGAGAUCGGAAUUCACGGUGUAGCAGUGAAAUGCGUAGAUAUCGUAAGGAAGACCAGUGGCGAAGGCGGAUCUCUGGACAGCUCCUGACGCUGAGGCGCGAAGGCUAGGGGAGCAAACGGG
rnacentral:rRNA from 1 species